rnacentral:rRNA from 1 species
GAGGAAUAUUGGUCAAUGGGCGAGAGCCUGAACCAGCCAAGUAGCGUGCAGGAUGACGGCCCUAUGGGUUGUAAACUGCUUUUGUAUGGGGAUAAAGUCAAUCACGUGUGAUUGUUUGCAGGUACCAUACGAAUAAGGACCGGCUAAUUCCGUGCCAGCAGCCGCGGUAAUACGGAAGGUCCGGGCGUUAUCCGGAUUUAUUGGGUUUAAAGGGAGUGUAGGCUGGAGAUUAAGUGUGUUGUGAAAUGUAGACGCUCAACGUCUGACUUGCAGCGCAUACUGGUUUCCUUGAGUACGCACAACGUUGGCGGAAUUCGUCGUGUAGCGGUGAAAUGCUUAGAUAUGGCGAAGAACUCCGAUUGCGAAGGCAGCUGACGGGAGCGCAACUGACGCUGAAGCUCGAAGGUGCGGGUAUCGAACAGGAUUAGAUACCCUGGUAGUCCGCACAGUAAACGAUGGAUGCCCGCUGUUGGUACCUGGUAUCAGCGGCUAAGCGAAAGCAUUAAGCAUCCCACCUGGGGAGUACGCCGGCAACGGUG